GACGAACGCUGGCGGCGUGCUUAACACAUGCAAGUCGAACGGAAAGGCCUCAGCUUGCUGGGGUACUCGAGUGGCGAACGGGUGAGUAACACGUGGGUGAUCUGCCUUGCACUCUGGGAUAAGCUUGGGAAACUGGGUCUACUACCGGAUAUGAACUGCCUUUAGUGUGGUGGUUGGAAAGUUUUUUCGGUGCAAGGUGAGCUCGCGGCCUAUCAGCUUGUUGGUGGGGUAAUGGCCUACCAAGGCGUCGACGGGUAGCCGGCCGGAGAGGGUGUACGGCGACACUGGGACUGAGAGACGGCCGAGACUCGUACGGGAGGCAGCAGUGGGGAAUACUGCACAAUCGGCGGAAGCCUGAUGCAGCGACGCCGCGUGGGGGAUGACGGCCUUCGGGUUGUAAACGGCUUUCGACAGGGACGCAGCGUUUUUUGACGGUACCUGUAGAAGAAGCACCGGCUAACUACGUG
rnacentral:rRNA from 1 species